CCUACGGGAGGCAGCAGUGAGGAAUAUUGGUCAAUGGGCGCGAGCCUGAACCAGCCAAGUCGCGUGAGGGAUGAAGGUUCUAUGGAUCGUAAACCUCUUUUAUAAGGGAAUAAAGUGUGGGACGUGUCCUAUUUUGUAUGUACCUUAUGAAUAAGGAUCGGCUAACUCCGUGCCAGCAGCCGCGGUAAUACGGUGGAUCCGAGCGUUAUCCGGAUUUAUUGGGUUUAAAGGGUGCGUAGGCGGCCUUUUAAGUCAGCGGGGAAAGUCUGUGGCUCAACCAUGGAAUUGCCGUUGAUAUGGGGAGGCUUGAGUAUGUGUGAGGCAGGCGGAAUGCGUGGUGUAGCGGUGAAAUGCUUAGAGAUAACGCAGAACCCCGAUUGCGAAGGCAGCCUGCCAGGCCAUGACUGACGCUGAUGCACGAAAGCGUGGGGAGCAAACAGGAUUAGAUACCCGAGUAGUC
rnacentral:rRNA from 1 species